GACGAACGCUAGCUACAGGCUUAACACAUGCAAGUCGAGGGGAAACGAUAUUGGAAGCUUGCUUCCGAUAGGCGUCGACCGGCGCACGGGUGAGUAACGCGUAUCCAACCUGCCCAUCACUUGGGGAUAACCUUGCGAAAGUAAGACUAAUACCCAAUGACGUCUCUAGAAGACAUCUGAAAGAGAUUAAAGAUUUAUCGGUGAUGGAUGGGGAUGCGUCUGAUUAGCUUGUUGGCGGGGUAACGGCCCACCAAGGCAACGAUCAGUAGGGGUUCUGAGAGGAAGGUCCCCCACAUUGGAACUGAGACACGGUCCAAACUCCUACGGGAGGCAGCAGUGAGGAAUAUUGGUCAAUGGACGGAAGUCUGAACCAGCCAAGUAGCGUGCAGGAUGACGGCCCUAUGGGUUGUAAACUGCUUUUAUGUGGGAAUAAAGUGAGGGACGUGUCCCUUUUUGUAGGUACCACAUGAAUAAGGACCGGCUAAUUCCGUG
rnacentral:rRNA from 1 species